AGUGAACGCUGGCGGUGGGCCUAACACAUGCAAGUCGAACGGCAGGACGGUAAGCUUUUGCUCUUGCUGGUGGCGGCUGGCGGGCGGGUGAGGAGUACAUAGGCAUCUAAUUUUUCGUGGAGGACUACGUAGGGAAAUAUACGCUACUAGAGCAUACUACGUACGGGUGGAAGCAGGAGAUCUUGGGAGCUUUGGUGUUUGUAUGAGACGAUGUCGGAUUAGCUAGUUGGCGGGGUAAAGGCCCACCAAGGCGACGAUCCGUAGCUGGUCUGAGAGGAUGAUCAGCCACACUGGAACUGAGACACGGUCCAGACUCCUACGGGAGGCAGCAGUGGGGAAUAUUGGACAAUGGGCGCAAGCCUGAUCCAGCCAUACCGCGUGGGUGAAGAAGGCCUUCGGGUUGUAAAGCCCUUUUGUUGGGAAAGAAAAGCAGCAGGUUAAUACCCCGCUGUUCUGACGGUACCCAAAGAAUAAGCACCGGCUAACUUCGUG
rnacentral:rRNA from 1 species